rnacentral:rRNA from 1 species
AGCAGCCGCGGUAAUUCCAGCUCCAAUAGCGUAUAUUAAAGUUGUUGCAGUUAAAAAGCUCGUAGUUGAAUUUCGGGAUCAGUAUGUUGGUCGUGCUUCGGUACGUACUGUCAUUACUGGUUUCUACCUUCUGAAGAACCUUGAUGUCAUUAAUUUGGUGUCUUGGGGAAUCAGGACUGUUACUUUGAAAAAAUUAGAGUGUUUAAAGCAAGCAUACGCUUGAAUACAUUAGCAUGGAAUAAUGAAAUAGGACGUUUGAUUCUAUUUUGUUGGUUUCUAGGAUCGACGUAAUGAUUAAUAGGGAUAGUUGGGGGCAUUAGUAUUCAAUUGUCAGAGGUGAAAUUCUUGGAUUUAUUGAAGACUAACUACUGCGAAAGCAUUUGCCAAGGAUGUUUUCAUUAAUCAAGAACGAAAGUUAGGGGAUCGAAGACGAUCAGAUACCGUCGUAGUCUUAACCAUAAACUAUGCCGACUAGGGAUCGGAUGAUGUUAAUUUUUAAUGACUCAUUCGGCGCCUUAAC